UACGUAGGGGGCGAGCGUUGUCCGGAUUUAUUGGGCGUAAAGAGCUCGUAGGCGGUUCGGUAAGUCGGAUGUGAAAUCUCCACGCUUAACGUGGAGGGGCCAUUCGAUACUGCCGUGACUCGAGUCCGGUAGGGGAGUGUGGAAUUCCCGGUGUAGCGGUGGAAAUGACGCCAGAGAGUCGGGAGGAACACCCGUAGCGAAGGCGGCACUCUGGGCCGGUACUGACGCUGAGGAGCGAAAGCGUGGGGAGCAAACAGG
rnacentral:rRNA from 1 species